UACAGCUUUGCAGAUGAAUGAAUCAUCAAGUAUGAAGCUGCAAUAUAUUGUCAGUAUCUUGGUUUCUGAUAGAAUUGUUUCUGCAGUUAUGCAAGAUUGAUUCUGAAGGAAAAGCAAGGAAGUUCAUCGGUUGCUCCUGUGUUGUUCUAAAGGAUUUUGGAGAAGAGAUCGAGGCUCGCCAUGUCGUUUUGGAGUAUGUGAAGUCACACUGAGAAGUAUAGCUCUUUCGAUCAAGAGAGGCCUUCCUUAGUUGAAUGCUCUGCGGUUUUGUGAUUGUUAUAGUUGAACCAUGUCUUAUUUUUUACCAGUUUUUGCUCGUGUCAAGUUUGAAACAAUUUCAAUUUAGUCCAUCAUAUUCCAUUAAAUUCCCUGUACGACCAUCUGAUUUGGGAGCUUAGAACUCUGCAUCUUAUCCUUUCAGAUAGUGGUUUAAUGGUUGAUGCUUGAUUCACUC